AUACGGAGGAUGCAAGCGUUGUCCGGAUUUAUUGGGUUUAAAGGGUGCGUAGGCGGGACUGUAAGUCAGGGGUGAAAUACUGCAGCUUAACUGUAGCAUUGCCUUUGAAACUGCCGUUCUUGAGUACAGUUGAGGUAGGCGGAAUGUGGUGUGUAGCGGUGAAAUGCAUAGAUAUACCACAGAACGCCGAUUGCGAAGGCAGCUUACUAAGCUGUUACUGACGCUGAGGCACGAAAGCGUGGGGAUCAAACAGGAUUAGAUACCCUGGUAGUCCACGCUGUAAACGAUGAUUACUGGUUGUUAGCGAUAUAUAGCUAGUGACUGAGCGAAAGCAUUAAGUAAUCCACCUGGGGAGUACGUCGGCAACGAUGAAACUCAAAUGAAUUGACGGGG
rnacentral:rRNA from 1 species